rnacentral:rRNA from 1 species
UACGUAGGGUGCGAGCGUUGCCCGGAUUGACUGGGCGUAAAGGGCGCGUAGGCGGCUUGUACAGUCAGACGUGAAAUUCCUGGGCUCAACCUGGGGGCUGCGUUUGAUACGUGCGGGCUUGAGUUCGGAAGAGGGUCGUGGAAUUCCCAGUGUAGAGGUGAAAUUCGUAGAUAUUGGGAAGAACACCGGUGGCGAAGGCGGCGACCUGGUCCGAUACUGACGCUGAGGCGCGAAAGCGUGGGGAGCAAACAGG